UACGUAGGGUGCGAGCGUUUAAUCGGAAUUACUGGGCGUAAAGGGUGCGCAGGCGGCGUCGCAAGUCAGGCGUGAAAUCCCCGGGCUUAACCUGGGAACUGCACUUGAAACUACGAUGCUGGAGUAUGGCAGAGGGAGGUGGAAUUCCUGGUGUAGCGGUGAAAUGCGCAGAUAUCAGGAGGAACACCGGUGGCGAAGGCGGGAUCUCUGGGCCGUAACUGACGCUGAGGAGCGAAAGCGUGGGGAGC
rnacentral:rRNA from 1 species